GAUGAAGAACGCAGCGAAAUGCGAUACGUAAUGUGAAUUGCAAAUUCAGUGAAUCAUCGAGUCUUUGAACGCACAUUGCGCCCCCUGGUAUUCCGGGGGGCAUGCCUGUCCGAGCGUCAUUGCUGCCCUCAAGCACGGCUUGUGUGUUGGGCCCCGUCCUCCGAUCCCGGGGGACGGACCCGAAAGGCAGCGGCGGCACCGCGUCCGGUCCUCGAGCGUAUGGGGCUUUGUCACCCGCUCUGUAGGCCCGGCCGGCGCUUGCCGAUCAACCCAAAUUUUUUAUCCAGGUUGACCUCGGAUCAGGUAGGGAUACCCGCUGAACUUAAGCAUAUCAAUAAGCGGAGGA
rnacentral:misc_RNA from 1 species